CAAAAAAUAGUUUAAUUAAAAUAUUAAUUUUGGAGAUUAAUGAUAAAUUGUUUAUAUUUUUUUUUGA
rnacentral:tRNA from 1 species